CGGGAUGUAGCUCAGCUUGGUAGAGCACCACGUUCGGGACGUGGGGGUCGUGGGUUCGAAUCCCGUCAUCCCGA
rnacentral:tRNA from 2 species